GAUGAACGCUGGCGGCGUGCCUAAUACAUGCAAGUCGAGCGAACAGAGGAGGAGCUUGCUCCUCUGACGUUAGCGGCGGACGGGUGAGUAACACGUGGAUAACCUACCUAUAAGACUGGGAUAACUUCGGGAAACCGGAGCUAAUACCGGAUAAUAUAUUGAACCGCAUGGUUCAAUAGUGAAAGACGGUUUUGCUGUCACUUAUAGAUGGAUCCGCGCCGCAUUAGCUAGUUGGUAAGGUAGCGGCUUACCAAGGCAACGAUGCGUAGCCGACCUGAGAGGGUGAUCGGCCACACUGGAACUGAGACACGGUCCAGACUCCUACGGGAGGCAGCAGUAGGGAAUCUUCCGCAAUGGGCGAAAGCCUGACGGAGCAACGCCGCGUGAGUGAUGAAGGUCUUCGGAUCGUAAAACUCUGUUAUUAGGGAAGAACAAAUGUGUAAGUAACUAUGCACGUCUUGACGGUACCUAAUCAGAAAGCCACGGCUAACUACGUG
rnacentral:rRNA from 1 species